rnacentral:rRNA from 1 species
AUUGAACGCUGGCGGCAGGCCUAACACAUGCCAGUCGAGCGGAUGAAGGGAGCUUUCUCCUGGCUUCAGCGGCGGACGGGUGAGUAAUGCCCAGGAAUCUGCCUGACAGUGGGGGCUAACGUCCGGAAACGAGCGCUAAUACAGCAUACGUCCUUAGGGAGAAAGUGGGGGAUCUUUGGACCUCAAGCUAUCAGAUGAGCCUAGGUCGGAUUAGCUAGUUGGUGGGGUAAAGGCUUACCAAGGCGACGAUCCGUAACUGGUCUGAGAGGAUGAUCAGUCACACUGGAACUGAGACACGGUCCAGACUCCUACGGGAGGCAGCAGUGGGGAAUAUUGGACAAUGGGCGAAAGCCUGAUCCAGCCAUGCCGCGUGUGUGAAGAAGGUCUUCGGAUUGUAAAGCACUUUUAGUUGGGAGGAAGGGAAGUAAGUUAAUACAUUGCUGUUUUGACGUUACCAACAGAAAAAGCACCGGCUAACUUCGUG